rnacentral:misc_RNA from 1 species
UGCCGCCAUUUUGCAUGCCACCAUUCUUUUCUUAUUGUGUCCCCGUUUUGCGUUGUAAAAUUGCGUGCGUGAACCGGGUGAAUUUUUAGAUACAUACAUAUAUAAUUCGCUUAAUUAGCGCACAAGAAAUUUUACAUCUUUAAGAUAUCAGCUAAUGCAAAUGCAAGCUAUGAAUCAAUACAAUAGAGGUUUUGGCGGACCGCCGCAACCUCAAAGGCAAGGUGGUCGACGCGGUAAUAAUCGUGGAGGUUUCCGUGGAAAUUCUAGAUUUGAACACAACCAGAACCAGAGGAAUCAAAAUCAGGGUCAAGGAGGUCAACGACCUAAUAAUGAGAUCAAACAGAAUCAACCUGCUGCAAAGCCCCAGCAGCAACAAGGUCAACAACAAAACCAGCAACAGCCCCAGCAACAGAAACCGGCAGCCCAACAACAACAGACUAAGCCUCAACAACAAAACCAACCACAGAAGCCGGAGACUCCCACUCAGAAACCGUCACCACAGCAACAGAAAACAACUCCGCCUCAACAGCAACAAGCCAAGCCUGCUCAGAAUGCAACGGAGUCCCAGGACAAGGUUGACAGAGCUGCUCCAGAGACAAAGAAUCAGAAUCAAAACCAAAAUCAAGGCAACCAGAACCAACAGCAAAGGAACAUGAAUGGGAGCUUUGGAGGUCCCAAUAAGCAAGGAGGCUGGAACCAAGGUGGGCCCGGUAACAAACCUGGCGGAAACUUCAACCAAGGCCCGGGUGGUCCAGGCAACAAACAGGGUGGUAACUUUAACCAGGGUGGUCCCGGGAACAAGCCCGGUGGUAACAACUUUAACCAAGGUCAAGGUGGCCCUGGUAAUAAACCUGGUGGCAACAACAUCAACCAAGGCAACAGGCCUUUUGGACCGAAGCAAGGUGGCGGUCCAGGCGGACCAGGUGGUCCACCGCGCAACCAACAGCAACAGAGAGGUGGACGAGGACCUAUGCAUGGCAAUUUGGAUGGCCUGAAACCUGCGCAGAGAGAAGAAGUAAUGCUAGCAAAUAAGCUGAAGGAUUUAGUGGGGCCACUGCUGGACUUGCCCCCAAUUGAUCAGACCGAAGUGAAAUUUAAUGGCAGGAGCCGUCUGUACAUCGGGAACCUUACCAAUGAUGUGACCGAAGAAGAAAUCCUGGCAUUGUUUGCUCCCUUUGGUGAGACAUCGGAGUUGUUCCUCAACAAAGAGAAGAAUUUUGGAUUUAUUAAAAUGGAUUUUAGAGUAAGCGCAGAAAAAGCAAAGCGUGAGCUUGACGGCCAGAUGAGAAACGGUAGAACAUUGAGAGUGAGAUUCGCCCCGCACAACAGCGCUAUCCGAGUCAAGAACCUACCUCCGUUUGUGUCUAACGAAUUGUUGUACCGAGCCUUUGAGAUAUUCGGGAAAAUUGAGAGAGCCUAUGUGAAGGUUGACGAUAGAGGAAAGACUCUUGGCGAAGGCGUUGUUGAAUACGCGCGAAAACCUAGCGCAUUGGCCGCCAUUAGGAAUUGCACGGAAAAAUGUUUCUUCCUAACUUCAUCCCUUCGUCCAGUUAUUGUCGAGAGCUUCGAGGAGCCUGAUGAGUUUGACGGUUACCCUGAGAAGAACUUGCCCAAGAAGCAUCCGGAGUUCCUGAAGGCCCGUGAGCUUGGCCCACGGUUCUCGGAGUUGAGCAGUUUCGAGCACGAGUACGGCACCAGAUGGAAGCAGCUGCAUGAGCUGCACCGCCAGAAGGAAGAAACCCUCAAGAAGGAGCUCGCCGCGGAGGAGGAGAAACUCGAAGCUCAGAUGGAAUAUGCCAAAUACGAGCACGAGACGGAGCUGCUGCGCGAGCAGCUCCGGCAGCGCGAGCAGGACCGCGAGCGGCAGAAGCGCAGCUGGGAGCUGGCGUCGCGCGCGGCCGACGAGCGCCGCGACUGCGAGCGCGCGCAGCUGCUGCGGCAGGAGGAGGAGCUGGCCGCGCGCAUGCGGCUGCAGGACGACGAGCUGCGGCGGCGGCAGCAGGAGAACACGCUGUUUGUGCAGGCCCAGCGAUUGAACUCAAUGCUGGAUCGUCAAGAGCAGGGCAUGUUCGACCAACAGCAGCCAAUGGUUUCCGUUUUUAGCUAGAGGAGCGCCUAUUUCAUGAAGGGCUUUUCUUGGCAAAUGGCACAGUUUAACCUCUGGCACAUCGCGACGCCACCAUUUUAGGAAAUUCGGCAGCAUCCACUUCUUAAAAUCUAACUGCAGACUCUUCUUAGCUCAAUAGGUUCAAAGUCUAUGAUUUCGAUUCAAUAUUUAAUUAUACUUAUUUGAUCAAGAGUGAUAUUUUGCAAAUAAGACUCACUCGUAACCGGGAAACGAAUUGUAUCCGGUAUAUCGCUAAUCGUUUUGAUUUUUAUGUCAAUUUAAAAUAAUUGAUCAAGCUAUAAACCAUUUCAAUAAUUCAGAAUCAUUAUAGAUUAAUAAUUGAAUGAUUGUAACUUGUCCAUGUAAAUUUUGCUGUAUAAAAAUAAAAAUUAAUCACAAUUACACUUAAAUACAUAUUAAGACAAUAAGCUUGUUAUUAAGGACUAUAAUAUUUCUCUGUGAGUCAUUAGUAUUGAAACAUUAACUGGUCGGAUCAAUAUUCAGAUAUAACGUUGUCAAUUUUCAUUAGUAAUCGCUAUUGUCUUCGCUCUAAGGAAUGUUUGUGAGGUAAAAGUGAACUGACGAAGGAAGGAAUUCGGAUGGGAUAACCUGUAAAAUAAUUGUAGUCUUUUUUGUAAAUACUUUUAUACGUUAA